rnacentral:tRNA from 3 species
UGAUAGUGUGAAGCUGGCGUUUCGAGUGCUUUCAUAAGGCAUUGCGAGAAGAGUUCGAUUCUCUUACUAUCAACCA